UUUUCGGACAACGGAUAGAGUUACUUAGUGGCGGACGGGUGAGUAACGCGUGAGUAACCUGCCUUGGAGUGGGGAAUAACACAGUGAAAAUUGUGCUAAUACCGCAUGAUAUAUCGGUACCGCAUGGUAGUGAUAUCAAAGAUUUAUCGCUCUGAGAUGGACUCGCGUCUGAUUAGCUGGUUGGCGGGGUAACGGCCCACCAAGGCGACGAUCAGUAGCCGGACUGAGAGGGUGACCGGCCACAUUGGGACUGAGACACGGCCCAAACUCC
rnacentral:rRNA from 1 species